rnacentral:rRNA from 1 species
GAUGAACGCUGGCGGCGUGCCUAACACAUGCAAGUCGAACGGACUUUUCAUGAAGCCUAGCGAUUGGAAAGUUAGUGGCGGACGGGUGAGUAACGCGUGGGUAACCUGCCUUGUACUGGGGGACAACAGUUGGAAACGACUGCUAAUACCGCAUAAGCGCACAGCUUCGCAUGAAGCAGUGUGAAAAACUCCGGUGGUACAAGAUGGACCCGCGUCUGAUUAGCUGGUUGGUGAGGUAACGGCCCACCAAGGCGACGAUCAGUAGCCGGCCUGAGAGGGUGAACGGCCACAUUGGGACUGAGACACGGCCCAAACUCCUACGGGAGGCAGCAGUGGGGGAUAUUGCACAAUGGGGGAAACCCUGAUGCAGCAACGCCGCGUGAGUGAAGAAGUAUUUCGGUAUGUAAAGCUCUAUCAGCAGGAAAGAAAAUGACGGUACCUGACUAAGAAGCCCCGGCUAACUACGUGCCAGCAGCCGCGGUAAUACGUAGGGGGCAAGCGUUAUCCGGAUUUACUGGGUGUAAAGGGAGCGUAGACGGUUUUGCAAGUCUGAAGUGAAAGCCCGGGGCUUAACCCCGGGACUGCUUUGGAAACUGUAGAACUAGAGUGCAGGAGAGGUAAGUGGAAUUCCUAGUGUAGCGGUGAAAUGCGUAGAUAUUAGGAGGAACACCAGUGGCGAAGGCGGCUUACUGGACUGUAACUGACGUUGAGGCUCGAAAGCGUGGGGAGCAAACAAGAUUAGAUACCCUGGUAGUCCACGCCGUAAACGA